rnacentral:rRNA from 1 species
CAUAGCGCUAUCGUGGCAUAUCAAUAAGCGAGGAAAAGAAACUAACUAGGAUUCCCUUAGUAACGGCGAGUGAAGCGGGAAGAGCUCAAAUUUGAAAUCUUCAAGGUUUUACCUUGACGAAUUGUAGUUUAAAGAAGUGUUUUCUGUUGAAGUUUUGGUAAAAGUUCUUUGGAAUAGGACAUCAUAGAGGGUGAGAAUCCCGUAUUUGACCAUUAUUUCCAGCUGUGUGAUACACUUUCAAAGAGUCGGAUUGUUUGGGAAUGCAGUCCAAAAUGGGUGGUAAAUUUCAUCUAAAGCUAAAUAUUGGCGAGAGACCGAUAGCGAACAAGUACCGUGAGGGAAAGAUGAAAAGAACUUUGAAAAGAGAGUUAAACAGUACGUGAAAUUGUCAAAAGGGAAGCGUUUGACACCAGUGUUGUUUUCUCGAAAAUCAAUUAAAAAUGGCCGGAUUUUGUGUUGUAUUGACCUUUAAUCAGCUUUCUUCACUCUUUUCUUGUCUUUUUUAAUGCACUUUUCGUUUAACAAGUCAACAUCAGUUUCUUUUGUUGUAAAAGAGGUCAUUGGAAGGUGGCUUUCAUUUCGGAUGAAAGUGUUUAUAGCCUUUGAUCUUCUGCAAUCGGAGAGAUUGAGGUCUGCAGCGUAGACUCUUCGGGGUUAGAUACAUUUGUGCUAAGCUAUAGUUCUUUAUAGACAACUUGUUGACUAUAUCUAGUCCUGUAGGCUUACUCGCUUAUGCUAUUUUACCUACGCUUAGGAUGUUGAUAGUCACAGCGUGUAC